GCUGGCUCUUGAGAAAGAAGCUCUAAUGCUGUUGCUCUUAGUAUUGUUUCCUGCGUCUCCAGCAGGAUUCCGGUGCAGGCGACCAACAUGAGAUGAAGACACUACCUAGGAUGCUCAUACCAGCACUCAAAGGAGCUUGCCCUGGCCCUGCCACUUUCUCCCCUUCUUUCCCUGCCUGAAUGGGAGCAGAUUUCCACAGUGCCUGAUUAAGCUCACAGCUUUGCUCUGCCUGAAGGGUUUAAACCUUGCAACACUGAUGACCUGUUGUUCUUCUGCAGAAAAUGAGAUCCUUGCAUACCACAGAGCCCAACCAUCUGAGCCAAAAAGUGGUUGCAGUGUGAAUGAUGUCCAGGUUUUGCAGCCAUUAACAGCUUUCUAAGUUGGCUGGAAUUGUAGCUUUGCUUUUCUUCUUUUAAAAACCCAGGAAGUAUUUCAAAUUAAUGCACAAUAUUGUUGAUGUAAAUUCUA